UACGUAGGGUCCGAGCGUUGUCCGGAAUUAUUGGGCGUAAAGAGCUCGUAGGCGGUCUGUCGCAUCGGCUGUGAAAACCUGGGGCUCAACUCCAGGCCUGCAGUCGAUACGGGCAGACUAGAGUUCGGUAGGGGAGACUGGAAUUCCUGGUGUAGCGGUGAAAUGCGCAGAUAUCAGGAGGAACACCGGUGGCGAAGGCGGUUCUCUGGGCAUGUCCUGACGCUGAGGAGCGAAAGUGUGGGGAGCGAACAGG
rnacentral:rRNA from 1 species